GAUGAACGCUGGCGGCGUGCUUAACACAUGCAAGUCGAACGAUGAAGCCCAGCUUGCUGGGUGGAUUAGUGGCGAACGGGUGAGUAACACGUGAGUAACCUGCCCUUGACUCUGGGAUAAGCGCUGGAAACGGCGUCUAAUACCGGAUACGAGCUUCCACCGCAUGGUGAGUUGCUGGAAAGAAUUUCGGUCAGGGAUGGACUCGCGGCCUAUCAGGUAGUUGGUGAGGUAACGGCUCACCAAGCCGACGACGGGUAGCCGGCCUGAGAGGGUGACCGGCCACACUGGGACUGAGAAACGGCCCAGACUCCUACGGGAGGCAGCAGUGGGGAAUAUUGCACAAUGGGCGCAAGCCUGAUGCAGCAACGCCGCGUGAGGGACGAAGGCCUUCGGGUCGUAAACCUCUUUUAGCAGGGAAGAAGCGAAAGUGACGGUACCUGCAGAAAAAGCACCGGCUAACUACGUG
rnacentral:rRNA from 1 species